AUUGAACGCUGGCGGCAGGCCUAACACAUGCAAGUCGAACGAGUGGCGGACGGGUGAGUAAUGUCUGGGAAACUGCCUGAUGGAGGGGGAUAACUACUGGAAACGGUAGCUAAUACCGCAUACCAUCAGAUGUGCCCAGAUGGGAUUAGCUUGUUGGUGGGUUAACGGCUCACCAAGGCGACGAUCCCUAGCUGGUCUGAUGGGAUGACCAGCCAACCUGGAACUGGAACACGGUCCAGCCUCCAACGGGAGGCAGCAGGGGGGAAUAUUGCACAAUGGGGGCAAUCCUGAUGCAGACAUGCCGCGGGUAUGAAGAAGGCCUUCGGGUUGUAAAGUACUUUCAGCGGGGAGGCGUUACCCGCAGAAGAAGCACCGGCUAACUACGUGCCAGCAGCCGCGGUAAUUC
rnacentral:rRNA from 1 species